rnacentral:piRNA from 1 species
UAGAGAGGGUAGCGAUUGCCAAGC